rnacentral:rRNA from 1 species
CUACGUGCCAGCAGCCGCGGUAAUACGUAGGGUGCAAGCGUUGUCCGGAAUUAUUGGGCGUAAAGAGCUCGUAGGCGGUUUGUCGCGUCUGGUGUGAAAGUCCAUCGCUUAACGGUGGAUUUGCGCUGGGUACGGGCAGGCUAGAGUGUAGUAGGGGAGACUGGAAUUCCCGGUGUAACGGUGGAAUGUGUAGAUAUCGGGAAGAACACCAAUGGCGAAGGCAGGUCUCUGGGCUAUUACUGACGCUGAGGAGCGAAAGCGUGGGGAGCGAACAGGAUUAGAUACCCUGGUAGUCCACGCCGUAAACGGUGGAUGCUGGAUGUGGGGCCCAUUCCACGGGUUCUGUGUCGGAGCUAACGCGUUAAGCAUCCCGCCUGGGGAGUACGGCCGCAAGGCUAAAACUCAAAGAAAUUGACGGGGGCCCGCACAAGCGGCGGAGCAUGCGGAUUAAUUCGAUGCAACGCGAAGAACCUUACCAAGACUUGACAUGUUAACGAUUGCCUCAGAGAU